UACGAGGGGUGCAAGCGUUGCUCGGAAUUAUUGGGCGUAAAGGGUAGGUAGGUGGUCUCAUUUGUCUGGGGUGAAAGCCUUUAGCUUAACUCAAGAAGUGCCCCAGAAACGGUGAGACUGGAGUCCUGGAGAGGGUCGUGGAAUUCCCGGUGUAGCGGUGAAAUGCGUAGAGAUCGGGAGGAACACCAGAGGCGAAAGCGGCGACCUGGACAGGCACUGACACUCAACUACGAAAGCGUGGGGAGCAAACAGG
rnacentral:rRNA from 1 species